rnacentral:rRNA from 1 species
CCUACGGGCGGCAGCAGUGGGGGAUAUUGCACAAUGGGGGGAACCCUGAUGCAGCGACGCCGCGUGGGUGAAGAAGCGCCUCGGCGCGUAAAGCUCUGUCAGCAGGGAAGAAAAUGACGGUACCUGAAUAAGAAGCCCCGGCUAACUACGUGCCAGCAGCCGCGGUAAUACGUAGGGGGCAAGCGUUAUCCGGAUUUACUGGGUGUAAAGGGGGCGGAGACGGUUCGGCAAGCCAGAAGUGAAAGCCCGGGGCUCAACCCCGGGACUGCAUUUGAAACUGCGUAACUAGAGUGCAGGAGGGGAAAGCGGAAGUCCUGGUGUAGCGGUGAAAUGCGUAGAUAUCAGGAGGAACACCAGUGGCGAAGGCGGCCUGCUGGACUGCAACUGACGCUGAGGCCCGAAAGCGUGGGGAGCAAACAGGAUUAGAUACCCUUGUAGUC